GGGUGAGUAAUGCAUCGGAAUGUACCGUGUAAUGGGGGAUAGCUCGGCGAAAGCCGGAUUAAUACCGCAUACGCCCUGAGGGGGAAAGUGGGGGACCGUAAGGCCUCACGUUAUACGAGCAGCCGAUGUCUGAUUAGCUAGUUGGUGGGGUAAAGGCUCACCAAGGCGACGAUCAGUAGCGGGUCUGAGAGGAUGAUCCGCCACACUGGGACUGAGACACGGCCCAGACUCCUACGGGAGGCAGCAGUGGGGAAUUUUGGACAAUGGGCGCAAGCCUGAUCCAGCCAUGCCGCGUGUCUGAAGAAGGCCUUCGGGUUGUAAAGGACUUUUGUCCGGGAGCAAAUCCCAGUGGUUAACACCUACUGGGGCUGAGAGUACCGGAAGAAUAAGCACCGGCUAACUACGUGCCAGCAGCCGCGGUAAUACGUAGGGUGCAAGCGUUAAUCGGAAUUACUGGGCGUAAAGCGUGCGCAGGCGGUUGUGCAAGUCUGAUGUGAAAGCCCCGGGCUUAACCUGGGAACGGCAUUGGAGACUGCACGACUAGAGUGCGUCAGAGGGGGGUAGAAUUUCCGCGUGUAGCAGUGAAAUGCGGUAGAGAUGCGGAGGAAUACCGAUGGCGAA
rnacentral:rRNA from 1 species